ACUUGUGCUCUUCCGAUCUGUUUCAUCUAGUAAACUGAAAAUUAUUGCUUAAUCAAACUGCCGUUUGUCUUUUAUAUUUAAGGCCUUUACCCCUCCCUUCUGAGUUUUACCUUUAACUUAGUAAUUUCAAAUGUGACCUUUUAUAUCUAAGACCAGUGUAGUAAACUUAGCCUACAGUGGCAAAUCAUGAGUAAUAUCAUUGUAAUAUGUUCCAGUUGCACAUCAGUAUGUUAAACAGGUAAUGUAAGAAGUUUUUUGAAAUGUCAGCUAUUAAGUUCUGAAACAUACAUCAUGCAUGAGUAGGGAUAAAGCUCAAGUUCCUUAUUACAUAGCCAACUUACACUGCAUAAAGAUACGAAAGUGUAACCCGUCAAGAACACAGGUUUUUUUUCACUGCAAAGUUAGCAACUUUGCUGUUUUCCCUCUUUUUUAACUAAAAGUAGACUUUUUCCAGAAAGUGGAGCAAUAAUGGUGUAUGCCACACACACAUGAGAUCUCUGUAGAUAUCUUACGUGACUUUGGGGCAAAACUGGAAUAUAUACUUUACCACGUUUCAAAUAUCUAAGACCAAUAGUUAAAAAAAUUAUUAGAAUGUUUACUUUGUCCAUUAAUAAAGCAUCUAACAAUUCAAAUUAAAUACACCUUCUACCUAGUUGGAAAAACACGUUCCUGUUUUCACGUUAGAGCAAGUGAUUAAGCUGAAGAUAGAAGUCUUUUUUUAUAGAUGAGUGAUCCACAUCUCCAUUAAUUAGAACACUGGAAAAGAUGUUUUAUGAAAAAAGUAUUUAAUUCUGUUUGUAGGAUUAACUCAUACAAAGAGUAAGUCAGAUAUCCUGUUGGUUCAUUAAUACACUAUCUCCUUUAAGGAAGGAAAUGUGAUGAAUGAAUUAUGUGUAGACUUGAGGAAUGACAAAGGGGAAGUAGGAUGAAGAAAACGAACCUACAGAUGACAAUGAAUGUAAACUUAUUUUUCUUCAAGGGUAAGCAUUGUGCUCACUGGUGAUAUCCAGGUCCUAGCAAGAUUACUUGCUUAGCUUGUUAGGACCGGUAACUAGGUUAUUGAGACCACUAUGAUUGAUACUUUGAACCAAAUGUUAAUGCUUGAUACAGAAUUGUGAGCAGCAUCUGGUUCUCAUAUAGCCUUAAGGAUUAAUUUUAGAGAUCCUCAAGGAAUUAAACAUAGGGAAUUUAAGAAAUGUAGACUGCAAAGGCAGUAUACAGGAGAAGGUAGAGUGGGUUUUGUUCAUGAGGGUGUCUGAAAACUAAAAUGGAGCGGGAUAUCAUGGUACAUAGUUGGACAGUAUUGGUCCUUCGUGCUUUGGCCAUAUUGUAUAACGGAGCUUUUACCAAAGAUGUAUGAGAAGCAUAAGGCUAUAAAAAGUUAACUAUUCAAAGUAAAACUCUUGACAAACAUUUUACUUAAAGCAGAUGAGAAAAGGUGCUAUGUUGUAGGCUCCUGAUGGUGCAGAGGGAUUUUUGAAUUCAAAAUGCAACUAAGGUACAGAGUUCUCAGUUUUGCUUUAGAAAGAUCUCUAGAAAUCAAGCUGACAGACACAUCCGAGAACAUUUUAGUUGCUUUUAAAAUUCCCAAAGCUCCACCAUAAAUUUAAUUCUUAAGUGUUUUAAGUGAUUGCAUUUUAAGGUAUAUAAACAUGGGUUAUACAAAUAUCAAUGCUAUAGUAACAUCCUUAGACAAGACAAGCACAAAGGUAUAAAUGCCUAAACUGGAGGAAACUUGAAACCUUCAUCUUAAUUCUUAAAUGUAGUAUUUCUAACUUGUGACAGACAGAUUGAUAGGCAGCCAUUUUUUUUGUGUUUUAAAAUACCUGGGAGCAUAGUUAAAAUUUUAUACAUCAAGUGAUUGCUAUUGAAUGUUGCAGGUGAGAUGUGGUGGUUAUUUUUAGUUUAUUUGAACUGUCUAACUGAAGGGGGGAGGGGGGAAGCAAAUAUUUGAAAUUUGGAAAACCCUAAACUUUUUGGUAAGAACUUGUAAUUUUCAUUUACAUUUUCUUGAAGGAUAUAAAAGGUGGAUAAUUGAUGUAGUUAAAUUGAACCAUAACUAUUGGUAAUCACGGGGCAGGUAAUUAUAGCCUGCAGAAAAAAGUUACAAUCUAGAAUUUAAAAAAGAUCCUGAAGUUUUUGUUUAAUUGCAUCAAUUUCUGUAUUUAUGUGAAUUUAUAAACUGCAGUAAGUUUUUGAAUGAGGUUAAUCUUGUCUAAUAUAAGUAAAUGAGUCUGUAGACUGUGAUCUCCCCAAACUAAAAAGUACAGUACUUGGAAUUGUGUUCUUUAUGGUUGUAGUGUUGGUAAAGCACUAAUAUGCAGAAAAUAAAGGAAUUACACAGUGCA